AUCAAGAGUCGCAUGCCCUUCCAGCUGAGCCAGCCAGGUGCCCCCUAAUCUUUUCUUCCAAGGUCUAGAGGCCAGAAGUCUGACAUCAAGCUGUUGGCAGAAUUGGCUCCUUCCGGAAGUUCUGAAAAGGGGCCCAUCCCAGUCCUCUGUCCUUCUGGUGGCUGCUGGCAAUCCUUGGUAUUCCUCGGCUCGUGACUGCCCUACAGUCUCUGCCACCAUCUUCACAUGGCCUUUUCUCCCUGUCUCUCUGUGUGUAUGUCUUCUGUGUGUCUCUGGAUGUCUGUAAGCUCUUCUGUAUGUCAUAAGCUCUCUGUGUGUCUUCUCCUUUCCUGUGUCUUAUAAGGACACCUGUCAUUGGAUUUAGGGCCCAUGUUAAGCCAGGAUGAUCUCAUCUUGAGAUCCUUUAAUUAUGCCUACAAAAACCCUUAUUCCAAAUGAGGUCACCUUCACAGGUUCCAGGGAUUAGUUAGGACUUGGGCAUAUCUUCUUGGGAGGCCGCUAUUUAACUCACUAUACUACCAAUGUGUUUACUAAAUAUAAUAACUUGCCCAAGCCCCGGUUUUGGCCAGGAAUGGUGCCAGGCCUUUCUAGCUUUCUGGAGCUAGAAAGAUGACUAAGGAAUACCUUUUUAAAUAUCACAGAGUAUAAUUCCAAGAAAAGAUAUAAAAACCCUCAGGCCCUUAUAAUGAGAUGUAAGUAUAAUGAAGAGAUAAAUACAAACCCUGUGGAAACACAAAUUAGGAAACUCACAAAGGUACUCCUUAAAAAGAUCGUGUCUGGGGCACCUGGGUGGCUCAGUCGGUUGGGCGUCUGACUUCAGCUCGGGUCAUGAUCUCACAGUCUGUGGGUUCGAGCCCCAUAUCGAGCUCUGUGCUGAUGGCUCAGAGCCUGGAGCCUGCUUCUGAUUCUGUGUCUCCCUCUCUGCCCCUUCCCUGCUCAUGCUCUGUCUCUCUCUGUCUCAAAAAUAAAUAAAAACAUUAAGAAAAAAAAAUUUUAAAAAGAGUGUGUCUGCCUAAAACUGCCCUAUCUGAUAUGAAGCCACAUGUAGCUGUUGAGCACUUGAAAUGUGACUACUGUGACGAAAGAAUGGAACUUUUCCUUUUCCUUUCUUUCUUCUUUUUUUAUCUUUUUAAGUAAUGUCCAUCCUGGGUGUGUCACUCCCCAGUGCAAGGCUUGAACUCACAAGCCUGAGACCAAAACCUGAGCUGAGGUCAAAAGUCAGACGCUUAACCGACUGAGCCGCCUUGGUGCCCCUCCUUUCAAUUUUAAUGUAAGUUUAAACACAGAUAUUUGAUUCAGUUACUGGAAAGCUUUUAAGUGGGCCUGGAAUAACUUGGUAUAUAAAUAUUUUUUCAAUAGUAAAUUUUAUGAAAUCUAAAUAUAGAUCAAGCAUUUCUUUUUUUUUUUUUAAGUUUAUUUAUUUUGAGAGAGAGAGCAGGGGAGAGGCACAGAGAGAGGGAGAGAGAGAGAGAAUCCUAAGCAGGCCUCACACCAGCAGCACUGAGCUCGAAGUGGGACUUGAACCCACGAAUUGUGAGAUCAUGACCUGAGCCAAAACCAAGAGUGGAACCCUUAAUCAAUGUGCCACCCAGGUGCCCCUCAAGUAUUUCUCGUAUGUAUGUAUGUAUGUAUGUAUGUAUGUAUGUAUGUAUGUAUGUAUUUUGCCCCUGAAGUCUUUCUGAUGAAAAUUUAGCAUCUGAAUUCAGAUGCUCUUAAGUAUCAUAUACACAGCAGAUAUUGAAGACCCAGGACCAAAAAAAAGCUUCAUUGUAUUGUGUCCAUUUCCUCAUCUAUGAUACCUGAUUGACACCACCUUCCCUGUGAUGAUCCUACCAGCAAUCUAUCUGGAGGAGAAUUGUCAAAUUUUCAAUUUUACAUCCUUUUAUUAUCAGAGCGUUUACGAUGCCUACUAAUGGAUGGUAGGAUGGAAGGGGAGAAGAGUACUAGAGAAGAAUUCCUGGGUCACGGAGUAAAAACUGGACGAGUUCUCUGAGGAGCAGGACAACAGUGUGCUAAGAACAAGGGACUACGGGGGCACUACGGGAUCUACUUCUCAACCCCACCGUCUGAUCUCUUCUUCCUACUUCACCUUCCUCCAGCCCCUCUGGCUUCCUUGCUGUCUCCAGAUCACACCAGUCAUGCUUACAAUGAUCUGAUCGCAGAUGCCACACGCUUCACUCCCCUGCCUCCUUCAGAGUUCUACUCAAAUGCGACUUCAUUACAUGGGCUUUCCUCUGAGUCCUACGUAAAAGCCUCCGCCACUCACCACACAUCAAUCUUCAUCCCUCUGCUUUAUUUUGCGUCACUACCACAGGGCAUAUUUAUUGUUGAUUUUCUGUCCAUUAAAAUGGAAGCUCUAUGAGAGCAGAAACUU